AGUACGCAGAGGAAGCGCCAAGGAGAAAGGCACACGUUCGUCUUUCUCCUGCUAAUGUUCACGUUCCUGCAAAAAGAAGAUGGCAGAGGCACUCUGAUUUGCGGUGAAUUUAUUCAAAGUCACGCCAACGCGUUUCGACUACUUGGUCUUCUUCAGGGCUAAUUGAAUCAACAGCAGGUGUGACCAUUUAUAAAGGGUUGCGAACCCAAAACACAUGAUACUUAAAUAAAAAAACAAAAAAUUAUAAUAAUAAAAAAAAUAUGUUUUAAACUUUUCAAAACUUUUACAUGUUGAAUCCAAGUAUAUUGACAACAUACCAUUCAUACCAACAGGAAAAUCACACUGUUCUGUAAAGAUUGGAGUAUAGUCAACGAUACAUAAUCCCUCAAGUUGCAUAGUGCACUUCAAAAAUGUUUUCAAUGAAUCAUGAAGAAAACAGUGAUUACAAGACAAUAGUAAUAGAAAUACCCGGGUAUUUGAAUUUGGUUUUAUUUGAUUUAUAUCUUAACAUUAAAAUGCGAUCCACUGCAAUAGUUGAAGAAAAUGUGGAUGCCCGAGAAAGUUUAAUAAAGUAACGUCGCUUGCUCCUGAUAAUAAGUAGUCUGUUAGCUAACGUUAGCUGUCGGCGACUCAAUUAUGGUUGGACUAUUACAUGUUCAGAAAAAAACUUAUUUCUACUGUCAAAUGAUGUGAAAGAAAGUGUUUUUGUUAAAAUACAGAAGACACUUUCUCUGCACAUGCACAACUUAACACAUCGAAUUAACAUUAAAUUAAAUUAGUACUCACUUAUCUGUCCACAUGCCAUGUCCAAAAGCCAUUUUAUUUUUCACCAGUGUCUUCAGAUGAGAGAGACAGCACAAUGAUCCCGUUACCAGAUCUACGUCAAGUCACAGUCUUACCCAAAUCUGAAUUAAUGAGGAUACAAACUCUGUCAAAAAAUGUUGACAGAGAACAAGAGCGCAGAAUACAAGAGGCAAAGAGAAGAGAAGCCAUGCAUCUUCACUCAAAAGAGGUGGUCAAGCUUUGGUCCAACACUAUAGCAGGGCAAAGGCAGAAGAACCUGGAGGCAAAGGCAAUUCGGCAGCAGAUUGAGGAGGAGAAAAGAAAGGAACUUGACAUAGAAGAAAUCAACUACAAGGAGCAGAAGAGAAAGGAGGCUGUAAAUGGCAGACAAAAUAUACUUAAUUAUUCGUUUGUUUAAUUUGUCUGCAAAUGUAAUUUAACGUUAACCAAUGUGAUCUUGUUGCUUUAGUUUUGUUUAUGUUUUAUUUUGGAAAGCAUUUGGCCUGCCGUCAUAGGAUACACCUUUAUUUUGAAGGCACACCACGUUUUCCGGUGUGCGUAGCUGUAGAGACUUACCGCUGCGCUCUCCCAGUCCUCUCCGUGAUUAAAUGUCCUCUUACAUCGACGGAGAGAUGUUGGCUGUGUCCCAAUUCGAGGGCUGCAGCCUCCGAAGGCUGGUUUUAAGGCCGCAUACGUCACUUCCGGUGAAAGAAGGCCUGUCCCAUUUCAUUUUUAUGUCAUGCAGCCUUCAAAUGCAGCCCUAAAACCGGCCUCGUUUCCAUGGAGAUGGGGCUGCGAACGGAAGACACAUCCGAGUAUCCUUCGCAGCCUUCAGUAUCCCAGCAUGCACCGCGCGGCGGCAGUCAGAUGUUCGAAAACACGGAGCAAAAAGCCGGUCCCGAGAGCGGAGAAAAACAUGUUUUCACUCUACAGGACAGAACUUUGAAUCAAUCAGACGCAAGAAGACGAGAGAUACAUCAGACUGAGUGGUCCAAGUCCACUGUCCAUGUCUCCACUGUCCAUGUCUCCACUGUCCAUGUCUCCACUGUCCAUGUCUCCACUGUCCAUGUCUCCAAUGUCCAUGUCUCCAAUGUCCAUGUCCAGAGUCUCAUAUGAUCUGAACAGACAGAAAUGAAAACAUCUGCUCAUAAGUUUUUCUGAAUGUUUUUCAGUCUGUACUGACAUUUGAUUUAUGGUGAAAUGUGCCAUUUAUUUGGUGUCUCUUUUGAUAGUAACUAAUUACAUGUACUAUAAGAAUGUACUAUUGUACUGCAGAUAAGCUGUGGUAUUCCACAUGAUCAUAUCUGGCUAAAAGAUAAUUUGUUCAUUUUUGAUUGUCACAUGGUUCAGCAAAAAGGGAACACAAUGAGAUUUACUGACAUACAGCUGUUUGUACUAACUUGUUAAUGCAGAGUGUGUGUAAUGGGUUUAAUAUUUUACUUCAUAUUAUGAUAAAGUAUUUCCAGAAGUUCCUUGGAUUGUUUAAUAAAUCAUCUUUUCUCAGGA